UGGCGUCUCCGGUGCAGCCGUGCUUCUUGAGGCGACCGACGUGAUGGCGGGUGUGUAUGGCGGCGACCACAAGCUCUCCGGUGAGCGGCUCCCUCUACUACCCCUAGUUCUCUUUUCUACUCCUAUAGCAUUGCUCUGUUGGUUUAGAACACUAGCAACAGGAGUAGUGAUGUAGGAGUAGUGAAAGCUUCAUGGUUGAUCCGGAUUGCUGAACAUGGGAGAUGUAUCUUCUUUUGUGUAUCAAUUAAAUAGCAGUAUUAUGUAAUGGAACAGUCUAUGUACUGUUAUUUUUAGGUUAGGUUGAAGUGAUUUGUAGGCCUUUGUUAAGAAGCGAGCUUCUUUAAAUUUUUGUUGUUAUUUGCACUAUAUUCCACGCAUGCCUCAUGUGAAUCUGUGAUCGUAUCCAUAGACCAGUGAAUUUAUUGCACUAUUUGCUUGCUGUGAAGUAUUCACUACUAGAAAAAUGGCUGCUAGUGGCGCACCUGUUUUCGAUACUAAUGGCGCAAUACAGGUGCGCCACUAGCACCACGAAAUUAGACGUCAUUAGUAUCUGGUAUACUAAUGGCGCACCGCUGGUGCGCCAUUAGAAUAGCCCACGGUGCGCCAUUAGUAUCUGUAUACUAAUGGCGCACCACAUAGAAGUGCGCCAUUAGUAACAUUAUGUUUUCAGAUUUUUUUUAUUUUUUUUUCAAAAAAACUUUCAAUUUUUUUUUCUUAAUCUCAGUUCACUAAGGCUUAAUCUCGGGUCAAAUCGCACUCCGUGGUGAAACUUCCCGAAAGGUCACCCAUCCUCACACUACUCCAGCCCAAGCACACUUAACUUCAGAGUUCUAUCCAACACCAGCAACAGCUCACUUCACAGGCACUUGUUGAUAUAUCUAGCAUAUCAAUCCUAUUAUACCUUGUUGAUGUCUAGGACUUUGUUCAUGUUCAUGACUAUGAUGAAAUUUUGAAAAAUAUUUCAAACUUCCCGGUCAUAUUACGUAUCAUUUUUUGAAAAAAAAAAUCAAAACCAAUUUUUUUCUGUUACUAGUGGCGCACCACAUCCACGGUGCGCCACUAGUAAGUUUGAAAAUUUUUGAAUUUUUUUGCCUCUAGAUCUUGAAAGCCCCGUAACUUUUUUUCUGUUAGGUUUUUGGGGAUUUUGAAAAUGUUUAACGGGGUUCCCUCCGUUAAAUUUGGAUGUAACUUUUUGAGUAGAUGAUUUUUCAUAUAAAAAACUUUUUCAUCCGAGUUCGUAUGCAAAAGUUAUGCCCAUUUUACAAAUUUCCAGAGAGAUUUUGCAAAUAAAGUCGAAAUUCAUAUUUGUAAAUUUUCCCAACAACUAGACCAUAUAUCACAUGGGAAACUUAUUUUCUUUUAUUUUUUUUUGACAUUUCCAUCAUUUUCUUUUAUUUUUUUUAAAACUGAAAAGGCGAUCCACAAGGGGGGUGCAUUCGGUGUUGGGGCAAGUUAGUAAUGGCGCACCCUGGGGUGGUGCGCCAUUACUAGUUAAAACUAGUAAUGGCGCACCGAGACAUGGUGCGCCAUUAGUAACAAAUAUUUUUUUAUUUUUUUUUACUUUUUUUUCAAAACUACUAAUGGCGCAUGGCGGAUGUGGUGCGCCAUUACUAUGUCAACUACUAAUGGCGCACGGCGAACAUGGUGCGCCAUUAGUAACAAAUUUUUUUAAUGUUUUUUUUCAAAACUACUAAUGGCGCACCACACAUCAGGUGCGCCAUUAGUAAUAUAUUACUAAUGGCGCACCGAGGCAUGGUGCGCCAUUAGAAUAUAGUAAUGGCGCACCACAUGACAGGUGCGCCAUUAGUGACCAUUCCAUCUAUAGCCCUUUUUGUAGUAGUGAUCCAGUAUUUGUUAUAUUAUAUCUUUAAGUAGUAAAAUUGAGAAUGGCAAUCAAAUUCUUCAACUGAACUGCUCUUUCAUUGUACCAUGAGAUACUAACGUUUUGCUAUGUAUAACACUGCUAAAUGUGUUUUUGUGUAUAUAGAAUUGCAUUCAUUUCCUCUUCUUUCAGUAGUUACAUAGCUUGAGGUCAGUGUAUUCUUUUGAAUAGGAUGUACUAUUGUAUGCAGAAGAUCUGAUUUGCACAAACAUAGUUAUCUGCGUGUGUUGCCUGACUUGGUAUUUGUUAUAUCCUGUUGGUUGAAUGGAUGGUGGUGCCACUACAGUGGUAACAGUGGUAGUUUAUUCAGGUUGCUGUGAGGUUAAUCCCUUUGGCAACAUUCUUUGAGAAUUUUGUAGUGCCUCCUUUGGGGUGCCGAUACACUAUUACACAAGUUCUAUGGUAUGUGAGUUGUUGUUGCUGAAAGCAUUGAUACAAUAUGUCAUGUGCAGGGAGCUCCGCAUCUGAGUCUCGUUCAUCCUCCACAGCAAGGAGCUAGGCCAAGGGAGCUAGCAGCGCUACUGGUUUCUUGAGGCCGGAUCGUGUAAGAUGGUGCACCACGGCGUGCGGCGGCCUAUUCUGUUGUAGUGGUAUUGUGUAUAGUCUCAUCCAGCACUGAGUAUCAAUAUGUUGUUUUAAACCUGAUGAUGUUGUAGCAUAAAGUGGUUACUUGUCUGAUGCACAUUGUUCUUUGCGGGGUUAUGAUGAUAUUUCCAAGGAAAUAUACUGACCCUGAUGUGGCUAAGAUGCCCAUUUGCCCUUUGUGAAACAAUUUUACUCUAUUUUAUGUUCUUCCUGUAUGUCCAGUUUCACAUUGCUGGUGUUUCAUGCCAUAUUCAUCAAUCCUAGUCACAUUACUGUUGUUUUUUCAGUAGCAAAUAAAUAGAUAAACUAAAUGUACUAUAUCUUGGUAUUCUAGAACUUCAGUGCCUCACAGAAGUUUCUUUAUAUCCUACUUUAGCUUGCAAACCUGAUGACUUGUUGUCUGUUCUCAUCCUCAACUACACCUGUAUGCACCUUAGUAGUAAUAAAUACAUUGGUCAUGUAGAUAUCAUUGGGAACUAUAUCUGCGUCCAUAUGUUUUUGCCAUCAUUAAAUGUUGUAAGUAGAGGUUAGAAAUGCAGAACUGUGAUGUUGUGCUGGGAGCACCCUUGCUACAGUCAUGGGUUAGGUUUCAGCUUCACAUCUUCUCAGGUUUAACUAUUGGUUUACAUUGAAACUGUAGCAAGUGUCAAAUGAGUGCAUAGUGUGCAAUUUGUCUAGUAAUCUAGGCGCACAAAAGUAUCAGGCCGUAUGUUUUCUUAUAAGCAAACUAUACUGAUGGUUGUAAGAUGAGUUAAAGUAUACUAGUGCUAUCGUGAUUUCAUACUAAAUGUCAUUCAUUUAUUAGUUUGGUGUUCUAUAUGCUUCUAAUGCAUGAUCCUUUCAAUGCUAGGUGAUUUGAUUUCAGAAGUUGGAAGAGGAAGAUGAUGAAGCAUGGUGUUAUUUUAUCAAUCUGCCUCUUGUUCUGGUUGUACUCUGUAGCUAGUUAUAUUGUAAUUGGUAGUAGUCAGCACAUUUAUUGUAAUCUGCCUCUUGUUCUAGUUAUACUGUAAAGACUAUAAUAGGCUGAUUUUGCAUAUCGGUAGUAGUCAGCACAUUUAUUGUAAUCUGCCUCUUGUUCAAGAAUUUAGUUCUGUUCCAUUUGAAAUAUUUGGAGUAUUAUGUGUGUGUUUUGUUUGUGCCAAUUUAAAUACUGGUUAUUUAUUUACUGUUAAAUUGAAAUAUGAAGAAUAUGAACUUG
rnacentral:lncRNA from 1 species